rfam:Cicer arietinum chromosome Ca1, whole genome shotgun sequence.
GGCCCAUUAGCUCAGUUGGUUAGAGCGUGGUGCUAAUAACGCCAAGGUCGCAGGUUCGAGACCUGCAUGGGUCA